ACCAACCAGGCGAGAACAACAUUGUUCUCGCGCAGGUUUGACGUCAUGUGACAGCUGCACGUCAGCGUCCUAAAUUGACAGCUACGGCUUAUAUGGCUGCUAACCGCGCCUUAGAUAGGAAACGCUGUCGGACCCUGACGUACAGACGGGUGAUUAAUCAACCGAACGUUGUAAAGAUCACGGUGGGUCAAGAGGGAACUGGCCUGUUUACACAGGCCAGGUGUAUUGCAGAUCCCCUGCUCAAGGAGUGGUCGAAGGGUCUGGAAUACGGCAAGGAUUGUCUGGCUUCAUGCUGACCAGACUGGCGAGCUAACCGUUUAAGCGGAUCCGGAAAUACAACACCUAUUAUCUUCCGAACUGGUUGGAGAUUCAUCCCAACAAGUCUUCAUUGAAGGAACUGGAUUAUUAUUAUUUUGUUUUUUCCCUUUCAUCAUCAACAAAGACUGGUUGACUGCCUUGGUAUAAGGAACUCUUUUGGACUCUAAACUGUGGACUAACUUGUAUAUAUUGUAAAUAUUAAUACAACUCACCAAUUUUUGCACCA